rnacentral:rRNA from 1 species
UACGUAGGGGGCAAGCGUUGUCCGGAUUUAUUGGGCGUAAAGAGCGUGUAGGCGGCCAGGUAGGUCUGCUGUGAAAACUCGAGGCUCAACCUCGAGACGCCGGCGGAAACCAUCUGGCUAGAGUCCGGAAGAGGAGAGUGGAAUUCCUGGUGUAGCGGUGAAAUGCGCAGAUAUCAGGAAGAACACCGGUGGCGAAGGCGGCGAACUGGAUAAGUACUGACACUCAACUGCGAAAGCGUGGGGAGCAAACAGG